ensembl:lincRNA Gm11608 predicted gene 11608
GCUCUUAAAGCGCACACUUCCUGCAGGCGCCGCCCCACGCGCCCCCCGCCCGAAUCAGAGCUUGGGGUUUGGGGCUUUGGACCGGGACCCAGAGCCAAGCUUCAGCUUUUGGAGAAGUUAAGUCCCAAGUGACCAGAUGAAAAAUGGCUCGCGAAGCAACAUGUGAAUUCGGGCAAGGAGAAUGGCGUUCAAGGGGUUAAUGAAGAGCUUGGUUGCCCAGAGUCUGCAGUGAGGUGCCUCAACCAAAAGCUGCUUUUCAAAGACCCGUUUACUCAGGGCUAGACACUGUUUUAAGAAACACUGAAGAGAGACAAGAUGGCUUGGAGAUCACCUGAAGUCACUGACUCCUACUUAGAUCAAGAAGGUCCCAGGGUUUGAACUCGGGUUGUCAGGUUUACAUGGCAAGCUGAGUCAUCUUGCCUAUCACCAGCAUUUUCAUGUCACAGAAGAUGAACUGCACGGAAAAAAAUCACAGCAAUCAACAGCUGACUCAAAACAUGAGUCACAAAAAUUAAGAGAGAGCACCAUCUGAAUGGAGAGAGCACCAUCUGAAUGGAGAGAGCAAGCAAGGAGCGCUGUAUUUACAGAAAGGGUAAGCACAAGUGGCCCGGGCACCCGAGGAUCACGAUGGCUCUUCAGUUAGCUGUCAGCGCGCAAUAUAAAUCCUUGCUAUGUGAGCAAGUUGGAUCCAAUUCUUCAUCUAAGGUACUGUGCUCAUGGAGGCUGUCAGAUGCUCCCCGUCAAAUGAAUCCGCAUCCGCAGUCCAAAGGCCAGAGGAAAGGGGAUCGGCAGGGACAGAAGACAAACCUUCAGAAAUGCUGUGCAGAAAAGGCCGCC